UGGGGAAUAUUGGACAAUGGGCGAAAGCCUGAUCCAGCCAUGCCGCGUGUGUGAAGAAGGUCUUCGGAUUGUAAAGCACUUUAAGUUGGGAGGAAGGGCAUUAACCUAAUACGUUAGUGUUUUGACGUUACCGACAGAAUAAGCACCGGCUAACUCUGUGCCAGCAGCCGCGGUAAUACAGAGGGUGCAAGCGUUAAUCGGAAUUACUGGGCGUAAAGCGCGCGUAGGUGGUUUGUUAAGUUGGAUGUGAAAGCCCCGGGCUCAACCUGGGAACUGCAUCCAAAACUGGCAAGCUAGAGUACGGUAGAGGGUGGUGGAAUUUCCUGUGUAGCGGUGAAAUGCGUAGAUAUAGGAAGGAACACCAGUGGCGAAGGCGACCACCUGGACUGAUA
rnacentral:rRNA from 1 species